CCCCCGCCCCCUCGCCCCCCCCUGCAGACGCUGUUUUUUACCUUUUGUAGCUUCUUUGUAAAAGGAAUAAAAAGCAACGGCGGUGUCGGGCCGGCCCUGCCUGCACGGGGUCACCCCCAAAAUCCCCAAAAUGAGCCCAAAAUCUGCCCCCAGAAUCCCCGAAGUGAGCCCCAAAUCCCUGUCACCGAAAUCUCCAAAAUGAGCCCGAAAUCUGCCUCCAAAAUCCCCGAAAUGAGCCCAAAAUCCCUGUCACCGAAAUCCCCGAAAAGAGCCCCAAAUCUGCCCCCAAAAUCCCCAAAAUGAGCCCCAAAUCCUGGCCCCCAGAAUCUCCAAAGUGAGCCCCAAAUCUGCCCCCAAAUCUGCCCCCAAAAUGAGCCCCAAAUCCCUGUCACCAAAAUCCCCGAAAUGAGCCCCAAAUCUGCCCCCAAAAUCCCCGAAGUGAGCCCCAAAUCCCUGUCACCGAAAUCCCCGAAAUGAGCCCCAAAUCCCUGUCACCGAAAUCCCCGAAAUGAGCCCCAAAUCCCUGUCACCGAAAUCCCUGAAAUGAGCCCCAAAUCUGCCCCCAAAAUCCCUGAAAUGACCCCAAAUCUGCCCCCAAAAUCCCCGAAAUGACCCCAAAUCCCAGCUGAUCCAGAAGUGGCCCGAGGUGGAAAUGGGAGUUUUUAUUUUGGGGAGGGGGGAUUUGAGAUCCUCCCCCCCGCCCACCGCCAGCGUAAAACACUGAACGGCAAAAGGAGAGGGAAAAACAUUGAAAAAAAGGAAAAAAGGGAAAAAAAGGGAAAAAAGGAAACGAAAGGCCCCAAAGGGGGCGGGGCUGGGUCCGUGUCCAUGUGGAGAAGGAUCCAGGUGUGACAGCGGGGUCCAGGUGUGUCCCCAGGUGACGCCCUGGGUAUCCCCAGGGGUGUCCCAGGUGUGUCCCCAGGUGUCACAGCAGGAUCCAGAUGUUCCCAGGGGUGUCCCCAGGUGUCACAGCAGGAUCCAGGUGUUCCCAGGUGUCCCCCCCAGGUGUCCCCGGGUGUCCCAGCAGGAUCCAGGUGUUCCCAGAUGUUCCCAGGUGUUCCCAGAUGUUCCCAGGAGUGUCCCCAGGUGUCCCCAGGUGUCACAGCACGAUCCAGGUGUAGCGCUCGUUGUCCGCCAGAACCUUCAGGGAACAGCCUGGGGGGGAGGGGAGGGGAAAAGCAGCGAUGGGGGAGGGGCAGGGAGACCCCAGACCCAGGCACGACCCCCAGAAAAUCACCCAGGACCCU
rnacentral:lncRNA from 1 species